CCAAGUCUAAACAGAGGAUUGUUGUGUCUGGGUUCCAUGCAUUUUCUUCCUGUCUCAUAAUUUCUUUUUCUCAAAUCCUCAGUCUUAGCAACACGAAUAACAGCAAAUAAUAAUGACAGUAAAAUCAUCGUCCUAUAUCCUUCUGUUCUCUGAGGAAAAAGCUUCUCCAAGAAGGUCAGAAAUGAAGAAACACCGCAGGGAGGAUUCCACAGGAUCAUUCAUUUUGGCAAAAACAACAAACUUGGCCAUAUAUGGAACACAUAUUAAUUCUCUGUACAGUUGCGUGGCUAACCCCACAGUUUCUAAAACUUGAUGGCAGUCUGCAAGCCAAAAUCUGAUAAAAACAAAGCCAAACCAAAACAGAACAAAAUAAUCACUGCAAAUGCUAGCAUCAACAGCAGGUACAGCAACAACAUAACCAAACCUGUAAUGCUACAGAGAAGGCGCAGAUUGGGUGUGGCGUCCCCCUUGUACCCGUUGGAUACGCCUUCUCCCGAGGGCGGGG